AGAUUAAGUUAUUAAGGGCGCACGGUGGAUGCCUUGGCACUAGAAGCCGAUGAAGGACGUUACUCACGACGAUAUGCUUUGGGAAGCUGUAAGUAAGCUUUGAUCCAGAGAUUUCCGAAUGGGGGAACCCAGCACGAGUUAUGU
rnacentral:rRNA from 1 species